rnacentral:misc_RNA from 1 species
UUGGCAAAUCCACCACUUCUCCUUUGUUUGCCUGUCUCCUUCCUCGCGCGGUUCUACCAUUAGAUCCUUUUCUGCUUGCUCCAUUCUGUGACUUUUCAUGAACAGCACAAGUUUCAGACUCAUUGUUUUCAUUUGAACAAAGCAAUACCCUAUCAAACAUCUCCGACUGCUCAGACUCUGCAAGAGAAAUAGCAGAAUGCUUGUUGUUCCUCCCUUCUUCUAAAUAAUCACCGUCCUCACGUUGAUGAUUUUUCCUUCCCUGUGAACUAUUUGGUGAGUAAUCUCUCUCCAUGUCUGAGUUGCUCUUUGGUGCCAAUACCAAAGAAUCA